rnacentral:rRNA from 1 species
CGCCUCUUUAUCAAAAACAUCGCCUCCUGCAACUAAACUGAGUAUAGGAGGUCCAGCCUGCCCAGUGACUACGGGUUCAACGGCCGCGGUAUUUUGACCGUGCAAAGGUAGCGCAAUCACUUGUCUUUUAAAUAGAGACCUGUAUGAAUGGCUAAACGAGGGCUUAACUGUCUCCCCCUUCAAGUCGGUGAAAUUGAUCUAUCCGUGCAGAAGCGGGUAUAAAUAUACAAGACGAGAAGACCCUUUGGAGCUUAAGGUACAAAAUUUAACCACAUUAAGCAACUCAAUAAAAAGCAAAAAAUUAGUGGGAAUGAAGUUUUACCUUCGGUUGGGGCGACCACGGAGGAAAAACGAUCCUCCGAGUGGAAUGGGCUAAACCCCUAAAACUAAGAGAAACAUCUCUAAGCCGCAGAACAUCUGACCAAAUAUGAUCCGGCUAAUAAGGCCGAUCAACGAACCAAGUUACCCUAGGGAUAACAGCGCAAUCCUCUCCCAGAGUCCAUAUCGACGAGGGGGUUUACGACCUCGAUGUUGGAUCAGGACAUCCUAAUGGUGCAGCCGCUAUUAAGGGUUCGUUUGUUCAACGAUUAAAGUCCUACGUGAUCUGAGUUCAGACCGG